UACGUAGGUGGCAAGCGUUAUCCGGAAUUACUGGGCGUAAAGCGCACGCAGGCGGUCUUUUAAGUUUGACGUGAAAGCUCUCGGCUUAACUGGGAGAGGUCGUUGAAGACUGGAAGGCUUGAGGCAAUGAGAGGGGUGUAGAAUUCCCGGUGUAGUGGUGGAAUGCGUAGAUAUCGGGGGGAAUACCAGUGGCGAAAGCGGCACCCUAGCGUUAGCCUGACGCUCAUGUGCGAAAGCGUGGGGAGCGAACGGGAUUAGAAACCCCCGUAGUCC
rnacentral:rRNA from 1 species